AUGAUGCUUCGUGAUGUAAAGAUGUUCUGUUUAAGUGGGAGCCGUGAAGGGCCUAAUCUGUGCAAUCUUAAGUUUCAGAAAUAUGGUAGUAGUCCAUAUAGAGUACAAGAGCUGACCAAUGUGGUGAGGAGUGGAAGGUGUAUGGAGUUUCAAUUAGAUUGGGUGGCCACCGGCGUCCAUGAGACUCCAGAGCAACAUGGCAGACUUGUUAAUGAAAGGGUGUUCCUUUAUCAUGUGCCCAACAAUCUUUGCACUGAUUCUUGCAAGGGAUCCUCGAGGAAGCUAAUGGUCGGCUUUUUCCUGAAGGGAUUGAGAUUACCAAGAUUCGGAUCAGAUCCCUGCUUUGUCAGCGCAGGAGAACUGCUCAAGCACGUAGGCACGGCGUGCCUGACGCGGAUUACACCCGAACUGCCCUCCUUUGACAUAAAAGGUACCCGAUUCCCUCGACAAAAAAUUGAUGCAUCUGAGGUUUUCAAUCUCGCCGACUUCGCUGGAGUGGCGUGCGCCCAUGCUCAAGUAGAGGAACUGGAUGGAGCAAGGUCCACAUGCCUUAAAUUUCUUAAAGAUCUCCCGCACUUGCUUAAUUUACCCAGUGGAGUAAACAAAAGCUGGGUCCAGUACUAUUGCAUGCCUAAUGCAGAACUUCUUUUAUGCACAACCCCAGUGCGGGAGUGUGAAUUGGUGAUCCCACUACAUUGGUUAACUGAGUGCAAUGGAAUUAGCACGGCGGCCAAGUUAAGGCGUAUUUCCAUGCCGGUGGGCCGAGCUCGACGGCAAUCCGGCACAGGCAGUGUCCACCAACAGCUCCUCUUCCAAGGACAAAGUGGGCCACGCACAACAGACCUGCAUGCAGAUUUUCCUUUUCAUGCUUCCUGCGAGCGCAGAAGUGCACUACCUUAUCACAGGGAGCCACAUAAUUGGAGGCCUCCGAUGUCAAUCAAUUAUGACAAUAUAAUAUGUGAGCAAAUUUUCACCGCCAAGCCAUACCAGCCUGCCCAUGCGCUACGGCCCAAUCAAUCCAGCCCACCUAUCCUUUUUUUGAAGCAAAAAUACACAUGUCGUCCAAUCUUCCACUUUUCAAUCCUUUUUGUGAUACAAAUAAAUACAUCUAUUCCAUCGAACAAGCCCUCCCAAGGAGAGGACCAGCGUCGUCCCCGGCCUCUGGCGACCGGCCGGCGAGCCCAACGCCGGAGCACCACCAACACCCGCAGCCCCCAGCGCCCAGCCUUCCUACACGCUCAAGAGCGGGAGACGAACGCCCGCUCGGGAGGAGAACCCGAGUGCGCCCGCGCCACCCUGAGCCGCCACCGGGGGAAGCUCCCGCCGCUCGCCGGCGACGAACAGCCGCUGGCGCUCGUCCCCGACCAACUCCGGUGCCCUGGCCUCACCGCCAAAGCUGGGAGCCAUCCCCACCGGCCGGAUCUGAUGCGCAGCCACCUCGCUGUUGCGCCGCCAUCACCCCUGCAACGGAUCAUCCCGCCCUCCACCUCUUUUUCGUCGGGGAGACGACGAACUCGUCCUCGAGCAUUGACCGCGCGCCCGCGUUCGUGGGCUGCAUCCACGGGCGAUCGAUCACCGCCUCAUCUUCAAAAAACAGGAGAAGUGCAAGAAAACGUCGCCCCAAACAAAUCGCAACUUGCCAGCCUCCGCAACAGCCGUCAGAACCAUGGCUCACGGACGCCUGCUCCGCGGAUCGGCGGAUCCUUCCCUGGUGCCAUGCUUCAGCGGCUUGUGCUGCUCGGUAUCCCUCGUCCAAAUAAUCGGAUUUUCACCGCCACCAUGCUUCGGAGGCUUGCUGUUGUUCUUGUCCUCUUUGCUGCUGUGCGCAAGCGCACCUACGCAUAUAUGGUUCUGGCCCAGGGAGCACAACUCUCUAACUCUUGCCCUUCUGUCGUUGAUCUAGAUAAGCAGCAGGAGUAUUUCAUAGAUCACGGACCCCAUGAGUCUGAUGGUCAGUACAUCCGUGUCCAUGUCGUCAAUGUGUUGCUCGCCGACCGUACUGUUCUCGAGAUCCGCCUUGAAGACGGUGGAUCGGGCCUUCAGCACACAUCGUUCGGAAGUGUUGACUACUUGAACAUGCUGGAAAGUGUUGACUACUUGGAGGUUAGUAACUUGCAAGUAACAGAUGUUUUGACAACAAUAACUGCUACCAAUGAGGACCACUGGCAAGAUAUAGCACAACAACCUGGUCCCUGUUCCGUAAAGGUUGGCCUGAUCCCUGUUGAAAUCAAUUUGGCGUGGACUUUGAUGUGGGAUGUAGCCAUGCUUAUUGGACUAGGCAUCUAAGAAUUUUUUUCCCGUUGCAACGCACGGGUAUUUUUGCUAUCUUUCCCUAAUAAUAAAGCACGGAUUGACUUUGUCGGGUUCACCGUCACAAUACGCUUCUUCCUGUGAUUUUAUGCUUUCAGUUUGAAUUUAAAACAUAUUCGAGGUGGUACUAAAUUUUCGCUCUAUCUAUUUCGCCGCGUCUGAUUUAAUUCCGUAGGUGGCUGAUUCGCUGAAAAAAUAUGGUUGACGCCGCUGGGAUUUGAUUCAUGGUCUGCCAUGUAUAGAUUGCAGCGCAGCAGACCACUAAGGCUAGGCUCCUAAGCUUGCUAAUUUGGGCGUCUGGAACCUUAAGAAUAAAGGACAGGCGUACUCGGGCCGAGAUCAACAGGCACGGUCGUGAUGGGCAUGUACGAGUGCCGCGGCCCACUGGACGGACAAGGGACCAGGCUGGAAGUUGUUUUUCAUAUUUGUUUACUUGUCAAAUAGUCCCACCUUGCUAUUUUACAUUAAUUUUUACCAGUUUAUAUACAAUUUUUAGGUUGUCAGGCAUCAAGAAGCUGCUUUGGAAAUUAAGCAAAGAAAUAAAGAAAGGAAAUAGACAUUCUUUGCAUGAGAAAUAAAGAAGGAAGAUGGUAAUUAUGUGGAGCCGGCAAGAAAGGUAAUAUGUAUUGAAUAAGAAAUAAAGAAGGAAGAAAAUCGAUGGUAAUUAUGUGGGUGCCAUAUUAAUCGCAUGAGUAAUUAGCAGGCCUAGCAAAAAAGAAAAAAUAAUUGCAUGAGAAAUAAAGAAGGAAGGAGAAAGAGAGAGGAAGGAAAUGGACGGUAAUUAUGUGGGCAUCAUGAUAUAAGGAAAGAAAGAGAAAGAAAAACUAAUUAACAGGAGGUGCGGGAAUCAAUGGCAGGUUGCCAUGCCAUCUUAUGAGUAAAAAUGAUGUGGCAUUUUUUAAUCCUCACUAAAUUCAUGUCAUUUUUUUCUUCCAUUAUGUUUUCCUUGCUCUUAUAAUCUUUACUAAAUUUGCGCCAAAUUUGUAGCACAUUGAACAUUAUGUUUGCACAUACAAUCCUCA
rnacentral:rRNA from 1 species